AGCGAACGCUGGCGGCAUGCCUAACACAUGCAAGUCGAGCGCUCCCAGCAAUGGGGGAGCGGCGGACGGGUGAGUAACGCGUAGGAACGUAUCCUGAGGUGGGGGAUAACCCUGGGAAACUAGGGCUAAUACCGCAUGAUGGCGAGAGCCCAAAGAUUUAUCGCCUUGGGAGCGGCCUGCGUCUGAUUAGCUUGUUGGUGGGUAACGGCCUACCAAGGCGAUGAUCAGUAGCUGGUCUGAGAGGAUGAUCAGCCACACUGGGACUGAGACACGGCCCAGACUCCUACGGGAGGCAGCAGUGGGGAAUAUUGGACAAUGGGGGCAACCCUGAUCCAGCCAUGCCGCGUGAGUGAAGAAGGCCCUCGGGUUGUAAAGCUCUUUUGUCCGGAAAGAAAAGCAAUCGGUUAAUACCCGGUUGUUCUGACGUACCGGAAGAAUAAGCACCGGCUAACUUCGUG
rnacentral:rRNA from 1 species